rnacentral:rRNA from 1 species
UACGUAGGGGGCAAGCGUUGUCCGGAUUUACUGGGUGUAAAGGGCGCGCAGGCGGGUCGGUUAGUCAGAGGUGAAAGCCUGCAGCUUAACUGCAGAACUGCCUUUGAUACUGCCGAUCUUGAGUUCGGAAGAGAGAAGCGGAAUUCCAGGUGUAGUAGUGAAAUACGUAGAUAUCUGGAAGAACACCGGUUGCGAAGGCGGCCACUUAGUCCAUUACUGACGCUCAUGCUCGAAAGCGUGGGGAUCAAACAGGAUUAGAAACCCCAGUAGU